rnacentral:misc_RNA from 1 species
GAGAACUUUGGCAAUUACCCUGCACCCUAAAGAAGGCAACCAUGCCAUCAUUAAUGCCAUUGAGGUAUUUGAGGUCAUCACAGCUGAGUCCAGAACUUUAUUGGAAGAAGUUAGGGCUUUACAGGCAUUAAAGAGUGCAUUGAGCCUUCCACUUCGGUUUGGCUGGAAUGGUGAUCCAUGUGUUCCCCAACAACAUCCAUGGAGCGGAGCAGAUUGUCAGUUUGACAGAACUAGCAACAAAUGGGUCAUCGAUGGACUUGGUCUUGACAACCAAGGUUUGAGUGGUUUCCUGCCAAAUGACAUAUCUGGUCUUCAUCAUUUACAGAGCAUAAACUUAAGUAGUAACAACAUUCGUGGGGCUAUUCCAUCAUCAAUUGGAACGAUAACCAGCUUAGAAGUACUGGACCUCUCUUACAACUUCUUCAACGGAUCAAUUCCUGACAGCAUUGGACAGUUGGCUUCGCUGCGGAGAUUGAAUCU